GACCAUCAUGAUUCUGGUUUCAAUCCAGGCAAGUGUUUCUAUAUGUACAGAUAAUGUAGAAAAUCUUGUGUGGAUUGGAACCAGGGUCAUAUUAUAUACACAGAGUC